GGAUUGUGGCUCAGUGGUAAAGCACUUGCCUAGCACGUUUGAGUCACUAGGUUCAAUCCUUAUCACCAUCUA
rnacentral:tRNA from 1 species